CUGCGCUCUCCUUUGGCGCACACACACUUUUCAGGGGGGAAAGACGUGUGCAGAGAGACAGGAGUCCGACGGAGAGAGAGAGAGAGAGAGAGAGGAGGGGCAAAGAAGCAGCUGUGAAGAGCCUGGAAGGUCCUCUAUUCACUUCGCCGCUCACCUGUGUCACAGCUGCCCGCCAGCGCCUUCAAAGGUGCAUCAGACGUCUACUUUGGCACCUUCUUACCUGUGGCGUUGCGCUGCUCCUUGCUGGCUAACGCGCUUUCACCAUCACCCUCCCCUCAACCCUCCAGCUCCUCAAGGCAUCUGCCACUCAACUGUCAUCAGCUCCUGUUUUCCCUUCUGCUUUCUUAGCGAAGGUGGGAAAGUAACCAUUGGAGUGAAAGUGGUGAUGAUUAUGUCCCAGUUCCAGGUUUAGCAGCUGCCACAUAUGACACAUUACAGCCACCUAACACUAAAACAGGUUAUUCUUUUAAACUACUCUUAAACUACUCAACAACUUAGGUAACAAUUAAUUUUCCACCUGUAACAGAAGCAGGUUUCGCAUGUUUACAUGUUGUACUGACAAUGUGGCACUCCAUAAUGUUAGAGGAACAGUUUGUUGUUUGUGCAUUCUGUGGAGAUCUUUUUAGCAUUCAGGUUUCCAAAGUAGAUUUCUACUAUUUUAAGGUCAUUUUCAUCUCCAAACAUUAAGUUUAAUUCAAUCAAAUAAUAUUUUAAUGUCCAUUAUGAUACAAUGAUUUUGCAUUGGACAGUUAUUUACAGACCAGUCAAUGGGUUUUUACACUGACGACUGUCCAUCCACAGGUAAUCAGAAAUACCUUACAAUUUUAAUGCAAAUGUUUUAUUUAUGUAUUUCCAAAAAUGAAAUAAGCAGCACUUGCUAAAGCUGCAGCGACGUUUCCUUUUUUAAAUUCAGUUUAUUACUUUGGAAUCUGAGAGGAUCUCUUCUAGUUUGCACUUAAAGACAUUGUUUUGCAGCAUAUAUUUCAGCUGAAACACAAUUUUGAUUGUUUAAAACCAACAACUUUAUUAUAAGCAACCAUCUAAUGAAAAAGAUAAAGUGGUAUUUUAUUUUUAAAAUAAUAAUUUGGUGAACAACCUUGCAAUUUCUUUUUUACAUAAAGGGCUCAUUAAGAACUGACCUCUGUUACACUAGCUUCACUCCAGUUAAAAAUAAUCUCUGCUUAUCAAUACUGAAAAAAACUAUCUCAGAGUGCUGUUUGCUGCAAGUAAAAUACUGACUGAUCAUAACCGCACUGGAGAACCCCACCAUAGGAUAUCUUUAAGUUCAAGUAUGUGCAGUCAUGAUACAAAGAAAGCAGACUCCCUUUAAAUUCCAGGGCUUUGGAUGCUUUAAUAUAUAUGUAGGGUUUUUGGGGGGUACUUAGUUUCUCUAUACCAGCUUAAUCUGCACAGGGUCAUAGGAAGACUAGUGUUUCUCUCCAGCCAUUUGAGCUCAGAACCUUUUUUGUUCGAGAAACAGUUAUAACAACUCUGCCACCGUGCAGCCAACGUGUCGUCAUCAAAUCAUUUAUAUCUUAAAGUUUCAGUUCUGGAACUGAGAUCCGCUUUCAUUAACUUCUCCGUGGCACUUUAAUAAAGCAGCUAACAUGGAGCAUCUCUUGUGUCAUUGGUAAAGAUUCAGUGGGAGUGUUUGCUCUGUAUUGCAGUUUUAGUGUUAAAAAAUAUGGACACCUCAAAUAAACACCAAUAUUUUAUAAAAUAUUUGGAGGUAUUGCUGAAGGUGUUGCUGGACUACCCACAUUGUUCAGUGACUGGGCCACACAAAAUAAGUGCAGAAUAAAAUUGUUGUUAAAACAUUGACACUAGGAGUGGCCAUUAAUAAAUACAAUAUUUAAUAUUUUAAUCAGAUCUUGUAGUCAUGCCUUCUCAAAGCUACACAAAACACUGUUAACUGAAUCAACAGGGAUGUCAAACCUAACCUCAUGUACACUAAUAUCAUACCACAAUAAGGAGUGCUUUUCUGUUUAUUGCUUUAUAUUGUUUGAUGAUCAUUAUCCUAACAUUUUAUGUUUUUGACAAGUAUAAUUAAGUUUGUUCAUACAUUUUAGAAGUUUUCUUUUUCUAGUUUGUAAAAGAAGAUUAUUAAAAUUGUUUGAGCUUCCUCUCA